ACGCUCGACACCUACGGGGGCAGCAGUGGGGAAUAUUGCACAAUGGGGGAAACCCUGAUGCAGCGACGCCGCGUGGAGGAAGAAGGUCUUCGGAUUGUAAACUCCUGUUGUUGGGGAAAAAGAGGAUGGUACCCAACAAGGAAGUGACGGCUAACUACGUGCCAACAGCCGCCGGUAAGUACUGAGCGGGCGUGGCGAAGGACG
rnacentral:rRNA from 1 species